rnacentral:lncRNA from 1 species
GUCCUCAAGGCACGUACAUCAUUCAGUAUCAAUUGUCCAAAGUUGAUCCUAAAUUUAGGCUUGAGAAAACAUGGCCUGUUCGGCAUAUAUCUAGAAGGACAUUAGCUAAUGGUGUAAUUUAUGGGGAGAAUGAUGUUUACAAGGUUCGAGAUCUGCGCUCAGAGGAUGUUGUGACCAGUUUUAAGAUAAGUUGCCAGUUUUUGAAUCAGAGGCUGCCUAUGUUUCUUGGUGACACUGAAUCCCUUGUGAUCAAAGAAGACACGAAAUGUAGUCUUUUCAUCAAAGCUGUUAAUGGUGUUACGAUUGGGAAGCUGGACAUCCAAAUAAAUGUUGGAAGCAGCAUUGAAUCUUUACCCCGCCUGAAACUUUUUCAGAAGUGUGCAGGGAAGAAAUUGAUGAGCUGAUUCCUAGCUCAAAUUUUGAGUCUUUCAAAGCCAAAUCAAAUGCUUCAAAAUACUUAAUUCUGAAAGCUCAGUUAAGAAAUGCUAGUGAUGAAAAAUUGAAAAAUGUUCCUUCGGCCCAGUAUAAUUCUUAUCUAGACAACUUUAACUCUCCGUACAAAACUCCCCUGGAAACUUGUAAUGUCGCAAGUCUCCAACAUCCUCCAUCUCAGCCAACUAGUUACAUGUUAUCAGAUUUACACAGUAGUAGUGGUGAUUUCACUGAUGAGCACUAAACAACCCCGCAACUUGAUGCUCUGAACUCCAAGACUAAUGCUAGAUCACAUGUUGGUGCGCAACAAUAUUUCAAUCAAAAUUCUAGCAGGACCAAUGACUCUGCUGAUUUCCACAAUGCUGCUCCAAAGAAAUAUGUGAUUGUCACUCAUGAGUUUAAUGUCAUCAUCAGAAAUUUUGAUCAUCACCAAGACUAUGUGGUCAGUUACGUUUUUCCUGAAAGCAACUCUCAUGAAAAUGGGAAAGUUUUUUCCAGUUGGUCUGAAGUCUCUAUUUCAACGAACCUUAGUCGUCCUUUCUUCAUAUCACUACCCUAUGGAGUAUCACUGAAAAAUUUCCUUAAAAAAACUGGGAAAAAGUCGAUCAUAUUUUAUUUCAAACAACCAUCACAAAACAAGACAUCUGCCAAGGCUGUGUUGGAUCUUGCUGAGUUGUAUCUGAUUGAGAAACUGUACAGGUCAUCAGCCUGUUCAUCUUUCUGUGCCAAAACACUCAAGGUUCCUCUUUUCAAAGGAAAUAAUGAAAACCCAUUUGGGGUUGUGGAAAUUUGUAUUGAAUACCGUAAUUGGAUCAGAAAAUUUGACAAUUUCAAGAGUGAAUCCUUACCCUCUGAUCAAAUAGUUCAUAAAAGUUUGAGUGCAAGAUCCAGAAAUAAUUUGAAACAAAAUUUGCGCCAAAAAAAUGCAACUUCAUCAAGAAUCUCUGUUGAUGACGGUGCUCAACAUCUUGAGCAAGAGCAAUCAAAUAAAGAUUCUACUGAUUCCAGACUGCUAAACGUAACGUUCUGUGUGAAUGAAAAUAAAAAUGUCUUGCAGGAGUCUCAUCAACAUACAUUCAGUGAUGAGUCGAAAGUAGGAUCAUCGGAUAGUAUUCAGAUAACAGAGGAUGGUGGAGACUCUCCAUUAACUAUUCAUUACGAAAGAGGAAAUCCCUCAACUGUCUCGAAAUCUGAUAGAUUUAGCCACCCUAUAUUUACUUUACCUGAUUGUAGAACAAAAACUCAAGAGAUGAGUGGCUUAAAUGAAAAAUCUGAGAUAGAUGCAGCACAGUAUUUAAGCCAGCUAAAAAUAAAUGAUGCCAGUCCUUAUUCUGGUGAAAGGCAACAGACUGAAAAGAGUGAUGAAGCAAAUUUAAGCGCCCUCUCAAUUUUGAAAACGUCUCAUUUGAUUUCACCAAAUGCUGUCUCCUCACAUUUCCAAACCUCUGCAUCAAGUGGUAUGUUUGCUGCUCCUAUUCUCAUUUGGUUUUGGGUGGCGAAUCAAUCAACAAUGCUUAUAAAAAUGGUAACGAAAACAUAGUUGCAGAUCAAACUCAACCAUUACUCGCUGGUUGCUUACCUACUACAAGUCCCAAUCAGAUCAAUGGAAGCAAAAGGAUGGCAGGAGAAUCAUUCAUUGGGCCUAACAGCACUCCAACCUUCAGUGAUGAACAGAUUUUCAAUUUGAUACCGACAAAACUAAUACGGCUAAAUCACAUCCGCAUGAAUCGAGCAGAAAAAAUGUAACCUUAGCGAGCUUCGACCCGAGGAUCAAAGUUGAAGAAACGCUGUUUGAUAAAUAUGACAGCUUCC